rnacentral:rRNA from 1 species
CCUACGGGAGGCAGCAGUGAGGAAUUUUGGACAAUGGGCGCGAGCCUGAACCAGCAAAGUCGCGUGAAGGAUGACUGCCCUACGGGUUGUAACCUUCUUUUAUAAAGGAAUAAAGUGAGGCAAGUGUGCCUUUAUGUAUGUACUUUAUGAAUAAGGAUCGGCUAACUCCGUGCCAGCAGCGGCGGUAAUACGGAGGAUCCGAGCGUUAUCCGGUUUUAUUGGGUUUAAAGGGGGCGUAGAUGGGUUGUUAAGUCAGUUGUGAAAGUGUGCGGCUCAACCGUAAAAUUGCAAUUGAUACUGGUAGUCUUGAGUACAUUUGAGGUAGGCGGAAUUCGUGGUGUAGCGGUGAAAUGCGUAGAUAUCACGAAGAACUCCGAUUGCGAAGGCAGCUUACUAAACUGCCACUGACAUUGAUGCUCGAAAGUGUGGGUAUCAAACAGGAUUAGAUACCCUGGUAGUC